GCAUUAGGAAAAAAUCAUCCAAAACAAAUUGAGGAAUUUACUGCUCCACUUGCAAACGAAUCCCAGUUCAGACAAUUUGACAUUAACCUCAAGGCAGACUCUGAUCUUCAGAAGAGACUAAUUGAGUGUUUUGGUUUUUCUGGAGGUAUGACUGUGAAGGAAACUGUUUGGAGAAUUAUGCAAAAAACAGUAACAAAUGACCUGGCAAAAAAAAUAAACUGGACAGGAGCAAAUGAAAAAAAUCCAUUUAAAUCGACCAAACUGAAAGAUAUAAUCUUGGCUGCUGUCAGGAGAAACAGUUUCACUGCAAACGCAACGGAUGGGGAAAUAGAAAAACACAUAAAAAGGUGGCUUCAGCUUUCUGGGGACAGGGAAGGAGGAAGAAAGGACAGAGAAAAGAGACAUGAAAGGAAUAGUCAAGUUACUGAAUGAAGUUUCACUACAAAAAGACAAGGGUUUAACAAGAAAUUAAUUGGGUUUAUCUAGCUUAAAUAAAAAAAUGUCAAUGAAAAAAUAUGAAAACUAUUUAAAUUGCAUUAACUCAUUAAGUAUCCAUAUAUUAUUUUUUAAAAUUGUAUUAUAUAUUUUUUUGUUUCAAGU